CACGUGAGCAACCUGCCCCAGGCUUUGGGAUAACCCCGGGAAACCGGGGCUAAUACCGAAUAUGACCUCGCACCGCAUGGUCUUUGGUGGAAAGUUUUUCGGCUUGGGAUGGGCUCGCGGCCUAUCAGCUUGUUGGUGGGGUGAUGGCCUACCAAGGCGACGACGGGUAGCCGGCCUGAGAGGGCGACCGGCCACACUGGGACUGAGACACGGCCCAGACUCCUACGGGAGGCAGCAGUGGGGAAUAUUGCACAAUGGGCGGAAGCCUGAUGCAGCGACGCCGCGUGAGGGAUGACGGCCUUCGGGUUGUAAACCUCUUUCAGCAGGGACGAAGCGUAAGUGACGGUACCUGCAGAAGAAGCGCCGGCCAACUACGUGCCAGCAGCCGCGGUAAGACGUAGGGCGCGAGCGUUGUCCGGAUUUAUUGGGCGUAAAGAGCUCGUAGGCGGCUUGUCGCGUCGACCGUGAAAACCUGGGGCUCAACCCCAGGCCUGCGGUCGAUACGGGCAGGCUAGAGUUCGGUAGGGGAGACUGGAAUUCCUGGUGUAGCGGUGAAAUGCGCAGAUAUCAGGAGGAACACCGGUGGCGAAGGCGGGUCUCUGGGCCGAUACUGACGCUGAGGAGCGAAAGCGUGGGGAGC
rnacentral:rRNA from 1 species